rnacentral:ncRNA from 1 species
AAAAAUCUAUAUGAAAAAAUUAUAUAUAUAAAUAAAUUUUUAUGAUUUAUAAAAUUUAAUUUGAAUUUAUUUUACAUGUAAAUUUUAGUGUUAAUUUUUAAUUAUUUUAAUAAUAAUUAUUUAAAUUUGCAGUAAUUAAAAUUAAAAAUUUAAGAAAUUAAGAUUUAGUAAUAUUUAAUUUAUUAACAAAUUUUGUGCCAGCAGUUGCGGUUAUACAAAAAAUAAUUUAAAUUUUAUCAGUAUAUAAUUAAUAAAAAUUAUUAUUUAAAAUAAAUGUUAAAUUAUUAAGUGAAAUUUUAAUUUAAUUAAAAUUUAUAUUAAUUUUAUGAUUUAUUAAAUUUUAUAAAAAACUAGGAUUAGAUACCCUAUUAUUAAAAAUUAAAUUUAUAAUACUAAAAUAGUAGAUAAUAAUUUAUUGAAACUUAAAUAAUUUGGCGGUAUUUUAGUUCAUUUAGAGGAAUCUGUUUAAUAAUUGAUAAUCCACGAAUAAAUUUACUUAAUUUAUUAUUUUGUAUAUCGUUGUUAAAUAAAUAUUUUUUAAUAAAAAUAAUAUUUAAAAAUUUUUAUAUAAAAUUAAUUCAGAUCAAGAUGCAGAUUAUAAUUAAGAAUAUAAUGGAUUACAAUAAAUAAAUUUAAAUGAAUAAUAUUUUUUAAUAAAUAUUUGAAGGUGGAUUUAAAUGUAAUUUUAAUUAAUUUAUUAAAAUGAUUAUUAAUUAAAAUAUGUACAUAUUGCCCGUCGCUUUCAUUAAUAAAUUGGAAUAAGUCGUAACAAAGUAGAGGUACUGGAAAGUGUUUCUAGAAAGAA